UGAUGUGGAGCAAAUCUCAAAACUACGGUCUCAGUUCAGAUUGCAGGCUGCAACUCGCCUGCAUGAAGUUGGAAUUGCUAGUAAUCGCGAAUCAGAAUGUCGCGGUGAAUACGUUCCCGGGCCUUGUACACACCGCCCGUCACACCAUGAGAGUUGGGAAUACCCGAAGCCUGUGAGCUAACGUAAGAGGCAGCAGUCGAAGGUAGAAUCAAUGAUUGGGGUGAAGUCGUAACAAGGUACC
rnacentral:rRNA from 1 species